rnacentral:rRNA from 1 species
UACGGAGGAUGCGAGCGUUAUCCGGAUUUAUUGGGUUUAAAGGGUGCGUAGGCGGACGCUUAAGUCAGCGGUAAAAUUGCGGGGCUCAACCUCGUCGAGCCGUUGAAACUGGGUGCCUUGAGUGGGCGAGAAGUACGCGGAAUGCGUGGUGUAGCGGUGAAAUGCAUAGAUAUCACGCAGAACUCCGAUUGCGAAGGCAGCGUACCGGCGCCCAACUGACGCUGUAGCACGAAGGCGUGGGUAUCGAACAGG